rnacentral:rRNA from 1 species
GAUGAACGCUGGCGGCGUGCCUAAUACAUGCAAGUCGAGCGAACGGACGAGAGGCUUGCUUCUCUGAUGUUAGCGGCGGACGGGUGAGUAACACGUGGAUAACCUACCUAUAAGACUGGGAUAACUUCGGGAAACCGGAGCUAAUACCGGAUAAUAUUUUGAACCGCAUGGUUCAAAAGUGAAAGACGGUCUUGCUGUCACUUAUAGAUGGAUCCGCGCUGCAUUAGCUAGUUGGUAAGGUAACGGCUUACCAAGGCAACGAUGCAUAGCCGACCUGAGAGGGUGAUCGGCCACACUGGAACUGAGGCACGGUCCAGACUCCUACGGGAGGCAGCAGUAGGGAAUCUUCCGCAAUGGGCGAAAGCCUGACGGAGCAACGCCGCGUGAGUGAUGAAGGUCUUCGGAUCGUAAAACUCUGUUAUUAGGGAAGAACAUAUGUGUAAGUAACUGUGCACAUCUUGACGGUACCUAAUCAGAAAGCCACGGCUAACUACGUG